AACAGCCCUUGUGACAUGCAUGCAUAUCUGAGGCUGGCAAAUAGGUCCUGCCAAAGUUCAAGGACCUGGUAUAUCACUGAGGUGUCCAGGGGCAUGUGAAAAGAAAAGAAAAAUAUAAAAGCAUUUAGAAAAGUAAAAAUAGAAAUUUCCUUGAAGAAGUGCAAGAAAAUCAGACUUCAGAAGACUCAGCAAGUCAAAUCAUAGCAGACAUCUAAACAGGAAAGGCUUCUACAAAACUGUCAAGGCUUGAAAGGUUUGGAGGUUCUGAUGAUCAAGAGAGAAAUGCCUCCACUGGAACACACAGUCCUGGUGGCAUCAAGCUGAGACUGGCCAUUUGUGUCUCCACAUGCCUCUGAAACUACAUGCAGAGAAAGCCAGUUCACCCACAUUGUGGGUUGUGAGAUAUUGAGUGAAGCCCACAUCCUUCCAGUGUAGUCACCAAGGAUCUGCCACGCUCUUCUACCUUGUCAGUGGUUAGACUCAUGCAAAGAUGAAUGAGGACACGAGAAAGCAGUGUACAAGCCAUCAAAUAAUGAGACGGACAGCAUUCAUAACAGAAGCUUCCACGAACAUCACCAGUUACAACCAGUAGGACAUCCACAGACCAACAAAGGACUCUCUGUAGAGUGCCCCAGAAUGCCUGAAAGAUCCAUUCAUCUAUAUGUCUAAAGGGAUUCCAGCUUCCCCAGAAAACCCAGGAACAGCAGCACAGGAGGAGCAUGUGGUAGCAGUGUCCAAGGCUAUGCAGAGCUCAAUAUCAGUGACAGUGGAGCCCGUGAUCCCCAUCCCCUCCACCUGCAGCAGUGAAUCCUAUUAAACAUUCAAAGAUCUAAUGCCUAUCCUUUUCAAACUCUUCCAAAAAACUGAGGAGGACAGGGUUCUUCCUAACUCACUUUAUGAUGCCAACUUUACCUGAUAUCAAAACCAGACAAGGACAACACAAAAAAAGAAAAUUACAGGCCAAUAUCGCUGGUGAACGUAGAUGCAAAAAUCUGCAAAAUAAUAUUAGCAAAUCAAAUGGAACAAUCUUGAGAAAAAAGAACAAAGCUGGAGGCAUCACAAUCCCUGAUUUCAAAAUAUACUACAAAGCUAUAGUAAUCAAAACAGCAUGGUACUGGCACAAAAAGAGACACACAGAUUAAUGAAACAGAAUUGAAAGCCCAGAAAUAAACCCACACAUUUAUGGACAGUUAAUUUUUCAAUGAAGGAGCCAAGAAUGUAUAAUGGAGAAAGGAAAAUCUCUUCAAUAAAUAGUGUUGGAAAAACUAGUCAGCCACAUGCAAAAAAUGAAAGUAGACCAUUAUCUCACACCAUACAUAAAAAUUAACUCAAAAUGCAUUAAAGACUUGAAUGUAAGACCUUAAACCAUAAAACUACUAGCAAAAACAUAGGCAGUAUGCUCAUGGACAUCGGCCUUAGCAGUAUCUGUUUGAAUACCGUGUCUAACCAAGGGAAAACAAAAGAAAAAAUAAACAAAUGGGACUACAUCAAAUUGAAAAGCUUCUGCAUGGUGAGGAAAACCAUCAACUAAAUGAAAAGACACCUACCCACUGGGAGAAGAAAUUUGCAAAUCGUAUGUCUGAUAGGGAGUUAACAUCCAAAAUAUAUAAGGAAUUCAUACAACUCAACAAAAAAAAAAACAAAGAACCCAACAAACAACAAAAAAUGGACAGAGGAUCUGAACAGACAUUUUAUCAGAGAAGAUAUACAGAUGGCCAACAGGCACAUGAAAAGAAGUUGAACAUCACUAAAUAUUAGGGAAAUGCAAAUCAAAACCACAGUGAGAUAUCACCUCACACCCAUAAGAAUGGCUAUAAUUAAAAAGAUAAGUAAUAGAAAGUGUUGGACAGGAUGUGGAGAAAAGACAACCCUCAUACACUGCUGGUGGGAAUGUAAAUCAGUGCAGCCACUAUGGAAAACAGUAUGGAGGUUCCUCAGAAAAUUAAAAACAGACUACCAUAUGAUUUAGCUAUUCUACUUCUGAGUAUUUAGCCAAAGAACAUGAAAACACUAAUUCAAAAAGAUAUAUGCACCCUUAUGUCCAUUGUAGCAUUACUCACAAUAGCAAAGAGUUAGAAGCAAUCUAAGCACCCAUUGAUGGAUGAAUUGAUAAAGAAGAGGUGGUAUAUACAAUGGAAUACUACUUAGCCAUGAAAAAGAUGAAAUCUUGCAAUUUAUGACAACGUGGAUGGACAUUGAGGGUAUUUUGCUAAGGGAAAUAGGUCAGAG
ensembl:lncRNA